rnacentral:rRNA from 1 species
GAUGAACGCUGGCGGCGUGCCUAAUACAUGCAAGUCGAGCGAACAGACGAGGAGCUUGCUCCUCUGACGUUAGCGGCGGACGGGUGAGUAACACGUGGAUAACCUACCUAUAAGACUGGGAUAACUUCGGGAAACCGGAGCUAAUACCGGAUAAUAUAUUGAACCGCAUGGUUCAAUAGUGAAAGACGGUCUUGCUGUCACUUAUAGAUGGAUCCGCGCCGCAUUAGCUAGUUGGUAAGGUAACGGCUUACCAAGGCAACGAUGCAUAGCCGACCUGAGAGGGUGAUCGGCCACACUGGAACUGAGACACGGUCCAGACUCCUACGGGAGGCAGCAGUAGGGAAUCUUCCGCAAUGGGCGAAAGCUUGACGGAGCAACGCCGCGUGAGUGAUGAAGGUCUUCGGAUCGUAAAACUCUGUUAUUAGGGAAGAACAUAUGUGUAAGUAACUGUGCACGUCUUGACGGUACCUAAUCAGAAAGCCACGGCUAACUACGUG